UAGCGUGAUGAACCGUGUUUCAGCUGAUCUGUGACGAUAGCCCUUCGGCUGAGC
rnacentral:ncRNA from 15 species